CUUGUAAGAGGUCCCGCCUGCCCUGUGACGUUUAACGGCCGCGGUAUCUUGACCGUGCGAAGGUAGCGCAAUCACUUGUCCUUUAAAUGGGGACCUGUAUGAAUGGCACGACGAGGGUUUAACUGUCUCCUUUCUCCAGUCAGUGAAACUGAUCUUCCCGUGCAGAAGCGGGGGUAACCCUAAAAGACGAGAAGACCCUAUGGAGCUUUUUGGUUGGGGCGACCGUGGGGCCCCAGCCCAGAGCUCCAAGCAUCAAAAUUUGACCAGAUCCGGGAUCAACGAACCGAGUUACCCUAGGGAUAACAGCGCAAUCCUCUCCCAGAGCCCCUAUCGACGAGUGGGUUUACGACCUCGAUGUUGGAUCAGGACAUCCUAAUGGUGCAGCCGCUAUUAAGGGUUCGUUUGUUCAACGAUUAAAGUCGCUCGGCCGUAAACUUAGAUAACUUUAUCCGCCCAGGUACUACGAGCAUAAGCUUAAAACCCAAAGGACUUGGCGGUGCUUCAGACCCUCCUAGAGGAGCCUGUUCUAGAACCGAUAUUCCUCGUUAAACCUCACCGCCUCUUGCCCGCCUAUAUACCGCCGUCGUCAGCUUACCCUUUGAAGGUAAUAAAGUAAGCGAAACAGU
rnacentral:rRNA from 1 species